CUGUCCCAGGCUGGGGACAGUGGGCCACAGCGGGGAGGCUGCAGAGCACUGGGCCAAGGCCAGGAGCAGAGCCCAGGGUGGCCUGCUGGGACUCCAGGCCAGAAAGCAGGCUGAACAAGGCUGGAGAUCCAGACCCCGGUUGCAAGAGGUCAGUGGCUGGAACCCAAGAUUGGCAACUGAGGAAUAACAUGGAGAUCCAGUUUUGGCAGAGAUGGAGUCACCCUUGUAUCUUGCUGGAGGAAAAAAUGAUGGGGGAAGAUUGGUAGAUCUUUUCACUUUGGACAAGCAUUGCUUGCGAGAAGAACUGGCAGCUAUGAUCACUUAUCUAAAAGAGACCAAGAGUGCUACCAGGAAAACAAUGCCAUGUUUCUAACACAUUGAGUGGGAAAUGCCAAUCCAAUCCAACUUUGUCAGCAAAGAAUAUUUCCAAAGGUGGCAUUUUACUUUACAGGGUGAUCUCUCAAAAGAGGAUUAAUACUUAUUUUAAAUAAAAGGAAUAGAUUGGGGGCAGGGGGGAAAGAGCUAUGCUGUAUAAUUCAGGUCACAUUUUUAAAUUUAAAACCAACACCUUUUGAACCCCUGUAAUGAUUGUGUCAAGUAUGAAACAAAACACAGUAUCAUCUUGUCAAGUCAUAUCUGCUCACCAACAUCUGAAAAAAGUGUGCUGUAUCACAGGACUGAUCAAAGAAAUGCUGACUUGUCACCUUGGCUGUUAGGAUUUGAAAACAGCAAGAGACACCUUGGAAAGCCACCUUCCCUCAUAUUGGCAAGUAUUACAACAGCUGGGCUGGAAAGAUGGGUAAAUUGUGAGG